UUCGUAGGUGGCCAACUAAGUCAGACGUGAAAUCCCUCAGCUUAACUGGGGAACUGCGUCUGAGACUGGAUGGCUUGAGUGCAGGAGAGGAACGCGGAAUUCCAGGUGUAGCGGUGAAAUGCGUAGAUAUCUGGAGGAACACCGGUGGCGAAGGCGGCGUUCUGGACUGCAACUGACACUGAGGAACGAAAGCCAGGGAGGCAAAACG
rnacentral:rRNA from 1 species